AAGAACCCAGGUAACAAUGGGACAAAAUGAAAGUAAACAUUCUACUUAUUUAAACUUUCUGAGGCAUUUAUUAUAGAGAGUAGGAGUGAAAGUUAGUACUCAGAAUUUAUUAACACUUUUUAGUACAGUGGAGCAGUUUUGCCCAUGGUUCCUAGAACAAGGGACAAUGGAGUUAGAUGAAUGGGAAAGAAUUGGCAGAUAUCUAAAAAAGGUGCAUAAAGAAGGAGCCAAAAUUCCAGUUUCUUUUUGGUCAGUGUGGGCAUUGAUAAAGGCAGGUCUUGAGCCAUUUCAAACAAAUGAUGAGGCAGAUUCAGAUAAGGAAGAGGCAAACGAGUGUAAAAAAUUAGCUUCAGAUUCUGAAUGUGAGGAACAGCAACCAGAAGAAAUUAAAGAAAGGGAAACUAAAACAGAUAUAUUUUAGUAGCCCGUUGUUUCCACUUGCUGAGUUAAGUGAAUGGCCACCACCUUCCUCCCCCCAUAAUGGUCGAGAAGAUGAAUUAGCUGCAAAACUUACCACCCUGGUAGCUGCAACAUUAAAACCUGGAGGAAUUGGUGAUGCUAUACAAAAUUCUAUUCAGAAGGUUAGAGCUGAAGGAGACUUAGAAGCAUGGCAAUUUCCCAUUACUAUAAUCCAGCAAGGAGGACAGAAUAUAGCUAAUUGGGCCACCUUUCAAGUUGUUAAAGGAAUUCAAGCAAGCCAUUAGUCAAUAUGGGCCAAAUUCUCCUUUUGUACAAACUUUACUAAAAAAUGUGGCUCUUGAUAAUAGAUUAAUAUCAUAUGACUGGGAUACUUUAACAAAGUCUGUUCUCACUCCAUCUCAGUACCUGCAGUUUAAAACCUGGUGGGCUGAUGAAGCUCAAACUAAGGCAAGAGAAAACACACAAACACAGCCGCCUGUGCCUGUUUCCUUUGAAUGGUUAAUGGAGUUGGGCCCUAAUUGGGGAUGAUUAGACAAUUAAGCAGUAAUGGAGGAUGUUGCCAUUGUUCAGUUUCGCACUGUGUGUUUAUGUGCAUGGGAAAAAAUAAACGUUACAGAAGAAAUAUAUCCUUCUUUCUGUUCUGUCCGACAAGGACCUAAAGAACCAUAUACUGACUUUAUUGCUCAGCUCCAAGAGGCUGUGGAUAAAGCUGUAACUGAUAAAACAGCUCAAGACGUGGUAAUACAACUUCUUGCAUAUGAUAAUGCUAAUGCAGAGUGUCAAGCUGCCAUUAGACCUAUGCAAGGGAAGCCUCGUUUGGCUGAAUAUAUUAAGGCUUGUGAUGGCAUUGGGGGUAAUUUACAUAAGGCUACUCUUUUAGCUCAAGCUAUGGCUGGAUUAAAAGUGGGAAAAAAUAUGCCCCGUUUCUCAGGCUCUUGUUUUAGUUGUGGGCAAUUUGGACACCCAAAAAAGGAAUGUAGAAAAGGAAAUCAAAAGGCAAAAACUAUUACCAUCAAUCAACAGAAAAGUUCCAGUGUAUGCCCCUGGUGUAAGAAAGGGAAUCACUGGGCAAAUCAGUGUCGUUCUAAAUUUAGCAAAGAUGGGCAACCUCUUUCGGGAAAUGGGAAGAGGGGCCCACCUCAGGCCCCUCAACGAACAGAGGCAUAUCCAGCACAGCCAGUGCCCUUACGAAAGUACAACAGUUGUAUCCCACCACAGCAGGCAGUGCUGCAUAGAUCUUUGUAGCACAGUUCCCAUUUCCUUACUUCCUGGGGAGCCACCAAAGAAGGUCCUCAUGGGAGUUAGGGACCCUUUACCCUCAGGAACACUUGGCCUAUUGCUUGUAAGGCCUGGUUUAAAUUUAAGAAGUGUCACUGUACAUACAGGAAUAAUUGAUUCUGAUUAUACCUGAGAGAUUCAGUUAGUUAUUAGUUCCUCAAUUCCAUAGUCUGCUUCCCCAGGAGAAAGAACUGCUCAGUUGUUACUGUUACCUUAUACAAAGCUAGGAAGUAAUACAGUAAAAGGAACAAGAGGCUUUGGUAGUACUAACCCAGCAGGAAAAGCUGUAUAUUGGGUUAAUCAAAUGUCUGACAAAACACCUAUUUGUACAGUAACCAUUCAAUGAAAAGAUUUUGAGGGGCUAGUACAUACUGGAGGUGAUGUUUCUAGUAUUGGUUUAAAUCAAUGGCCCUGGCAUUGACCAAAACAAAAGACACCCAUUGGUAUUGUUGGAGUAGGGGCUGCCUCAGAAAUUUUUCAAAGUUCUUUAAGUUUGCCAUGCCAGGGGCCAGAUGGCCAAGAAGGGACAAUUCAACCUAUUAUUACACCUAUUCCUGUCAAUCUAUGGGGUAGAGACUUAUUACAACAAUGGGGUGCUGAAAUAUCUAUUCCUAUGGAUCAGUAUAGUAAUAACAGUAAACAAAUGAUGAGAAAAAUGGGAUAUCUCCCAGGGACGGGACUGGGAAAAAAUGAAAAUGGCUAACCAGAACCUUUAGAACUAAAAGGGCAAACAGAUAGAACUGGAUUAGGGUAUCAUUUUUAGGGGUUGCCAUUGCUGAGCUCCCAUUCUUCUUGUUUGGUUAGCUGCCAAACUGGUUUAGGUGGAGCAAUGGCCACUGAAACAGGAAAAACUGGAGGCUUUAAAAGAAUUGAUACAGGAAAAAUUGCAAAAGGGACACAGAGCCUGCUUUCUCCCCUUGGAAUUCUCCUGUGUUUGUUAUUAAGAAAAAAUCAGGGAAAUGGAGAAUGUUAACAGAUUUGAGUGCUGUUAAUGCUGUAAUUCAACCCAUGGGUGCACUGCAACCAGGGCUGCCUUCUCCAACAAUGAUCCUAAAAUACUGGCCUCUCAUAGUGAUAGAUUUAAAAGAUUGCUUCUUUACCAUUCCUUUAGCUGUCCAAGAUUAUGAAAAAUUUGCUUUUACUGUUCCUGCUAUAAAUAACAAAGAACCAACAGACAGAUACCAUUGGAAAGUACUGCCACAAGGCAUGUUAAAUAGCCCAACUAUUUGUCAAACUUAGGUUGGAAAAGCUAUUAAGCCAGUUAGAGAACAAUUUAAAAAAUGUUAUAUCAUACACUACAUGGAUAAUAUUUUAUGUGCAGCUGAAAUUAGAGAGGAGUUAAUACUAUGCUACAAACAGAAAAGGCUCUGACUGCAGCAGGGUUAAUCAUAGUCCCUGAUAAAAUCCAAACUUCUACUUCCUUUCAAUAUUUAGGAAUGAAAGUAGAAUAAAGUACUAUUAAGCCUCAAAAAGUUCAAAUUAGAAGAGAUAAUUUAAAAACUCUAAAUGAUUUUCAAAAAUUAUUAGAAGACAUUAAUUGAAUUCAUCCCACUUUAGGCAUUUCUACUUAUGCUAUGUCUCACCUCUUUUCUACCUUACGAGGUGAUUCUGAUCUUAACAGCAAAUGCUCCUGUCCAAAGAGGCAUUAGAGGAACUUCAAUUAAUUGAAGAAAAAAUUCAAUAGGCACAAGUGACUCGAAUUAACCCUAUGCAGCCAUUACAGUUUUUAGUUUUUCAUACUAAACAUUCACCAACAGGUGUUUUUGUUCAACAGGAUGAUUUGGUUGAGUGGCUUUUUCUACCUCACAAUACAACUAAAACACUUACUCUGUACUUAAAUCAAAUUGCUGUACUAGUAGGACAAGCAAGGCUGCACACAAUAAAGUUAAUGGGACAUAAUCCAAAUCAAAUUAUAGUUCCAUUAGACAGACAACAAAUUCAGCAGGCUUAUAUUAAUUCCCAGGAAUGGCAAAUUAAUGUGGCAGGUUUUACUGGUGUUCUUGAUAAUCAUGAUCCUAAAUCCAAAAUAUUCCAAUUUCUUAAAUUAACAUCAUGGAUAUUGCCUUCCAUUACUCAAAAAACCCCUAUUGAAGGGGUCAUUACUGUUUUUACUGAUGGAUCUAGUAAUGGAAAGGCCUCAUUUUUGGGACCUCAACAACAAGUUUUUCAAACUGACUUUGCUUCUGCUCAAAGGGCUGAACUUAUGGCUGUGAUAACCAUGUUAAAAACUUUUAAACAGCCAGUAAACAUUGUUUCUGAUUCAGCCUAUGUAGUGCAAGCCACACAAAAUAUUGAAUGUGCCUUAAUUCAAAAUGUGACUAAUGACCAAAUUAAUGUUUUAUUUCAUUCUUUACAGCAAGCAGUACAACAAAGACAUUCCCCUUUCUAUAGCACUCAUAUGAGAGCACAUACUAACCUCCCUGGCCCUUUAACUAAACUUAAUCAAAGGGUGGAUAAUUAUAUGGGGAAGAGGAUUUGCUCGUGUCUCUCCAGGUAACAAUCAGGCACCUGUGUGGGUGCCCACCAAACAUCUGAAGAUCUAUCAUGAGCCACACCAGGAAGAGAGGACUCUGGGAAGAGCCAGAGCUCCUGAUAUGAGUGAUGGCACAAAUGAACAUCUCAGAGACAAAGGAAAAGACCAAUGGAGCACUUCCAGCACUAUGUUGACUACAAAUGGUGAAGUGCCACUGGGUUAUGGUCUCCCCGAUCGAGCUGGUCUCAGCAAGUGGUGUCCAUCGUGGGGGCUUGAAUCCAGGUCAGAGGGUCACUGGAGUGACGGUUGGGGAACAUGGAACUAGCUGGAGGACACCUGAGUACUCUUAAAGCAAUCCCCAUGGCCAAAAUCAACAGCCGAUUUGGAUACCAUCAAGACACCUGAAACCUUAUCAUGAGCCAGACGCCGAGGAAGAGAUUCCAGGAGGAUCCUGAGGACCCCCUGGUUGCAGCCAUGUUGAGGCUGACGCUGAGGAGGACCUCAACUGUCAGGAGCAACACCUGUCAAACACAGCCACCCACCUGGGGACAAAUCAAGAAGCUGUCACAGAUGGCAGAAGAAAACCUGAGGAAAGCGGGACAACCAGUCACAAUGAGUAAAUUAAUGGAAUGGUAUCUAUCAUAGUGAUGAUCACCAUUGCCAUGAGUAUUCCUUCAACAAGGGCUGACACAGAGAACAAUUAUACUUAUUGGGCAUAUUUAUCAAUCUUGGCUGGCAAUAAUGCCUAGAUGAUUUCACUCUAUGACACAGUUACACAUGCUUUCUGAUCUCAGAAUUUACCAUAAUAAAUCUGCUCUUAUAAUUGAGGCAUACCACCCUCAAAAACCUAUUUGUAAACAAAAUAGAACCUGGCCAGAAAUAAUGAACAUACUUGUUUAUUAAGAUUGCAUUGCAGAACAGGCAGAGAUGCUAUGCAACGAUUCCUAUGGAAUCAUUGAUUGGUCCCCUAAGGGGAUGUUUAGCUUAAAUUGCAGCUCUCAGUCUGUGUGCCAUGGCCACACUAGUUUAGAUGGUAGAAAUGAUAAGAAGUAUGGCAAAAGUUCCUAUUAUCUGGAACCAUGGCAGUAUAGUGUCACCUCAACCUCAAAUGAUAUGGCUUGUUGUAGCAGCUAAACAUAAGGAUUUGUGGAAACUAUUAAUAGCUCUUAAUAAGAUCAAAAUUUGGGAAAGAAUAAAAAAGCAUCUAGAAAUACACUCUACAAACUUGUCUUUGGAUAUUGCAAAAUUAAAAGAACAAAUAUUUAAAGCAUCCCAGUUACACCUGACCUUAAUGACAGGCACUGGAGUGCUUGAAGGAGCUGCAGACAGAUAAGCAGCUAGUAACCCAUUAAAAUGGAUAAAAACACUUAGAAGCUCUGUGAUUUCAGUGAUGAUUGUGCUUUUAAUCUGUGUUAUUUGUCUUUGUAUAGUCUGCAGUUGUGGAUCCUGACUCCUGCAAGAAGCUCACCAUGUCAAAGCUGCCUUUGCUUUUAUUGAUUUGCAAAUCAAAUAAGGACAUGUUGGGAACAGGCACCCCUAAAAUCUGGCCAUAAACUGGUCCCAAAACUGGCCAUAAACAAAAUCUCUGCAGCACUGUGAUAUGUUCAUGAUGGCCUUAACGCCCACACUGGAAAGUUGUGGGUUUACCAGAAUGAGGGCAAGGAACACCUGGCCUGCCCAGGGUGGAAAAUCACUUAAAGGCAUUCUUAAACCACAAAAAAUAGCAUGAGCGAUCUGUGCCUUAAGGCCGUGCUCCUGCUGCAGAUAACUAGCCCAACCCAUCCCUUUAUUUCAGCCCAUCCCUUCAUUUCCCAUAAGGGAUACUUUUAGUUAAUCUAAUAUCUAUAGAGACAAUGCUAAUGACUGGCUUGCUGUUAAUAAAUACAUGGGUAAAUCUCUGUUGGAGGCUCUCAGCUCUGAAGGCUGUGAGACACCUGAUUUCCCACUUCACACCUCUGUA